GCAUCGGGACUGAGACACUGCCCGGACUCCUACGGGAGGCUGCAGUAACGAAUAUUCCGCAAUGCGCGAAAGCGUGACGGAGCAAUGCCGCGUGUGGGAUGAAGCAUCUAGGUGUGUAAACCACUGUCAGGGUUUAGGAAAACAAUGACCAGACCCAAAGGAAGAGCCGGCUAACUCUGUGCCAGCAGCCGCGGUAAUACAGAGGGCUCAAGCGUUAAUCGGAAUCACUGGGCUUAAAGGGUCCGCAGGCGGACAAGCAAGUAUCUUGUGAAAUACCACGGCUCAACCGUGGAAUUGCUCGGUAAACUGCUUGUCUUGAACACGGUAGGGGCCAUCGGAACUCUAGGUGGAGCGGUGAAAUGCGUAGAUAUCUAGAGGAACGCCAGAGGCGAAGGCGGAUGGCUGGGCCGUUGUUGACGCUCAGGGACGAAAGCGUGGGUAGCGAACGGGAUUAGAUACCCCGGUAGUCCACGCCCUAAACGAUGUGCACUAGGUCGCGGAGGUUUUGACGCCAUCGCGGCUGAAGUUAAAAUAUUAAGUGCACCGCCUGGGGAGUACGGUCGCAAGGCUAAAACUCAAAGGAAUUGACGGGGGCUCACACAAGCGGUGGAGCAUGUGGCUUAAUUCGAAGCAACGCGAAGAACCUUAUCCAGGGCUUGACAUGCACGGAUUAUUGAUCCGAAAGGUGAUAAACGCUCUCUGAGUGGAACGUGCACAGGUGCUGCAUGGCUGUCGUCAGCUCGUGCUGUGAAGUGUCGGGUUAAGUCCCUUAACGAGCGAAACCCCUAUCCCUAGUUGCCAGCGAGUCAUGUCGGGGACUCUAGGGAGACUGCCGGCGUCAAGCCGGAGGAAGGUGGGGAUGACGUCAAGUCCUCAUGGCCUUUAUGCCCUGGGCUGCACACGUGCUACA
rnacentral:rRNA from 1 species